rnacentral:snoRNA from 1 species
GUCCUCCUGAUCGCUUCCCUGUCAGACCUCAACACUGGUCUGAGUGGUUGUAAAGGAGGAAAAGGAAACUAGGAACUACCAAAUACUUUUGUGAUGCACAAGCUCGUCCAAACAAACAAAC